rnacentral:misc_RNA from 1 species
GGUGGCAUGGUUCAGCAAUCACCAACCUUUGUGCUUAUUUUUCCUAACUGAUACAGGUUGGUCCCCAGGACAUAAAAAGCAAGGCCUCAACACAAUGGAUACUAGUGAAUCCACAAAGUAAUUAAAGAAAGAAGUGCAAAAGCAGAGUGCUUUUGUCCUUUUACCUUUUAUGUACCAGAAAUUGGCCAAAAUCGGUGCAACAAAUUACAGUGCACAUC